GGCCUUUUGACUAAGAUCAAGUGUAGUAU
rnacentral:snRNA from 1 species